rnacentral:rRNA from 1 species
UUCCAGACUCCUACGGGAGGCAGCAGUGGGGGAUAUUGCACAAUGGGGGGAACCCUGAUGCAGCGACGCCGCGUGGGUGAAGGAGCGUUUCGGCGCGUAAAGCCCUAUCGGCAGGGAAGAAGGAGGACGGUACCUGACUAAGAAGCCCCGGCUAACUACGUGCCAGCAGCCGCGGUAAUACGUAGGGGGCGAGCGUUAUCCGGAUUCACUGGGUGUAAAGGGAGCGUAGACGGCCAUGCAAGCCAGGGGUGAAAGCCCGGGGCCCAACCCCGGGACUGCCCUUGGAACUGCAUGGCUGGAGUGCGGGAGGGGCAGGCGGAAUUCCUGGUGUAGCGGUGAAAUGCGUAGAUAUCAGGAGGAACACCGGUGGCGAAGGCGGCCUGCUGGACUGCGACUGACGUUGAGGCCCGAAAGCGUGGGGAGCAAACAGGAUUAGAUACCCGUGUACU